UUUUCUGUUCAUAGCGAGCAUCAUGCCACCCUGAACAUACAGAUCUCGUCUGAUUUCGGAAGUUAAGCAGCAUCAGGCCUGCUAAAUGGGAGGCCAUGAGGGAUUUCCAGGUUGAGAGAAAUA
rnacentral:rRNA from 1 species